UUGGUAAUUAGUUUAAUCAAAACAA
rnacentral:tRNA from 2 species